rnacentral:rRNA from 2 species
GACCCGAAACCCGGUGAUCUAGCCAUGGGCAGGUUGAAGGUUGGGUAACACUAACUGGAGGACCGAACCGACUAAUGUUGAAAAAUUAGCGGAUGACCUGUGGCUGGGGGUGAAAGGCCAAUCAAACCGGGAGAUAGCUGGUUCUCCCCGAAAGCUAUUUAGGUAGCGCCUCGUGAAUUCAUCUCCGGGGGUAGAGCACUGUUUCGGCUAGGGGGCCAUCCCGGCUUACCAACCCGAUGCAAACUGCGAAUACCGGAGAAUGUUAUCACGGGAGACACACGGCGGGUGCUAACGUCCGUCGUGAAGAGGGAAACAACCCAGACCGCCAGCUAAGGUCCCAAAGUCAUGGUUAAGUGGGAAACGAUGUGGGAAGGCCCAGACAGCCAGGAUGUUGGCUUAGAAGCAGCCAUCAUUUAAAGAAAGCGUAAUAGCUCACUGGUCGAGUCGGCCUGCGCGGAAGAUGUAACGGGGCUAAACCAUGCACCGAAGCUGCGGCAGCGACACUCAGGUGUUGUUGGGUAGGGGAGCG